UCAGGAUGAACGCUAGCGACAGGCUAACACAUGCAAGUCGAGGGCGAGCAUAAAAGUAGCAAUACGUUGGUGGCGACCGGCGCGACGGGUGAGUAACGCGUAUGCAACCUACCUAUCAGAGGGGAAUAACCCGGCGAAAGUCGGACUAAUACCGCAUAAAACAGGGGCACCGCAUGGUGAUAUUUGUUAAAGAAAUUCGCUGAUAGAUGGGCAUGCGUUCCAUUAGGUAGUUGGUGAGGUAACGGCUCACCAAGCCGACGAUGGAUAGGGAACUGAGAGGUUGGUCCCCCACACUGGUACUGAGACACGGACCAGACUCCUACGGGAGGCAGCAGUGAGGAAUAUUGGUCAAUGGGCGGGAGCCUGAGCCAGCCAAGUCGCGUGAAGGAAGAAGGAUCUAUGGUUCGUAAACUUCUUUUGCAGGGGAAUAAAGUGCAGGACGUGUCCUGUUUUGUACGUACCCUGAGAAUAAGGAUCGGCUAACUCCGUGCCAGCCGCCGC
rnacentral:rRNA from 1 species